CGACCGGCGCACGGGUGAGUAACACGUAUCCAACCUGCCGAUAACUCGGGGAUAGCCUUUCGAAAGAAAGAUUAAUACCCGAUGGUAUAAUUAGACCGCAUGGUCUUGUUAUUAAAGAAUUUCGGUUAUCGAUGGGGAUGCGUUCCAUUAGGCAGUUGGUGAGGUAACGGUUCACCAAACCUUCGAUGGAUAGGGGUUCUGAGAGGAAGGUCCCCCACAUUGGAACUGAGACACGGUCCAAACUCCUACGGGAGGCAGCAGUGAGGAAUAUUGGUCAAUGGGCGCAGGCCUGAACCAGCCAAGUAGCGUGAAGGAUGACUGCCCUAUGGGUUGUAAACUUCUUUUAUAUGGGAAUAAAGUUUUCCACGUGUGGAAUUUUGUAUGUACCAUAUGAAUAAGGAUCGGCUAACUCCGUGCCAGCAGCCGCGGUAAUACGGAGGAUCCGAGCGUUAUCCGGAUUUAUUGGGUUUAAAGGGAGCGUAGGUGGACAGUUAAGUCAGUUGUGAAAGUUUGCGGCUCAACCGUAAAAUUGCAGUUGAUACUGGCUGUCUUGAGUACAGUAGAGGUGGGCGGAAUUCGUGGUGUAGC
rnacentral:rRNA from 1 species